rnacentral:rRNA from 1 species
GACGAACGCUGGCGGCGUGCCUAAUACAUGCAAGUCGAACGCUUCUUUCCUCCCGAGUGCUUGCACUCAAUUGGAAAGAGGAGUGGCGGACGGGUGAGUAACACGUGGGUAACCUACCCAUCAGAAGGGGAUAACACUUGGAAACAGGUGCUAAUACCGCAUAACAGUUUAUGCCGCAUGGCAUAAGAGUGAAAGGCGCUUUCGGGUGUCGUUGAUGGAUGGACCCGCGGUGCAUUAGCUAGUUGGUGAGGUAACGGCUCACCAAGGCCACGAUGCAUAGCCGACCUGAGAGGGUGAUCGGCCACACUGGGACUGAGACACGGCCCAGACUCCUACGGGAGGCAGCAGUAGGGAAUCUUCGGCAAUGGACGAAAGUCUGACCGAGCAACGCCGCGUGAGUGAAGAAGGUUUUCGGAUCGUAAAACUCUGUUGUUAGAGAAGAACAAGGACGUUAGUAACUGAACGUCCCCUGACGGUAUCUAACCAGAAAGCCACGGCUAACUACGUG